rnacentral:rRNA from 1 species
CUACGGAGGGUGCAAGCGUUACUCGGAAUCACUGGGCGUAAAGCGCGCGCAGGCGGCUUGAUAAGUUGGAUGUGAAAGCCUAUGGCUCAACCCUAGAACUGCAUCCAAAACUAUUUAGCUAGAGUGUGGGAGAGGAAGAUGGAAUUAGUUGUGCAGGGGUAAAAUCCGUAGAGAUAACUAGGAAUACCAAAAGCGAAGGCAAUCUUCUGGAACACUACUGACGCUGAGGCGCGAAAGCGUGGGGAGCAAACAGGAUUAGAAACCCUAGUAGUCC